AUGCUUGUAGUCUGUGGACAGUACUUUGAAUACCUGAAACCACCUCCCAGACAUGUCCCACCUCCCUGGAGCUGGCCUCCUGGUUUCAGACAUGUGGGCGAUCGGCGUUGAGAACAUACAGUGCACGGAAGGAAUGCGCACAAAUGCAGGGCUCCAGGGAAGAAAAGCCACAGCACAGGACCCAGUAGGAAAACUGCCACGAGGGGGUACCAAGCCGAGGAGAGCUUUGCUCCUGCUGCUUUCCUCAAGGAAGAGCCUGCUUCCUGCGGUAAGUGAAGUCUAGGGUGCAAGGACACCUAAUGAUGUGCCUCAGACCCAGAGGAUCCAUUAAGAAUCUGAUGCUCCUAGAAAACUGGCUCCAUCGUCAGUGUCUCAGGAACCGCUGGGUUGUGACUUUUUUUCUUUGGUGCUAGGAUGACGAUGGUGAUGAUAAUAAUGGUGAUGAUGACAAAGAUGACUAUGAAGAAGUAGGAAGAGAUUUGGAAGAGGGAGAAGAGGAAGGGGAGGAGGAAGAACAAGGUCAUCAGGGUUUGUUGAACACUUACUACAUGCCUGAUCUCAGUUAACCCUUAAACUCACCUGGUGAGGGUUGUACUACAUUUAUUCCCAUUUUACAGAUGAGGAAACCAAGCCUCAAGGAAGCUGAGUCUCCUGUCCAAGCCCCUGCAGUUGGCAAGUUGCAGAUCCGGAGUAGAGUACAAAACUCCCUUAUCUGUGUCUCCAAGAGACACCGUGACCUAUUAUGGCUUCCCUCUGCUGGUUCAGGCGUAGUCUCAGAAUUUUUCCUGCCCCAUUGCCCUUGCCACCCCAUUAACCCCACUUGCUGCAGGUAGCCGAUGCUAUCUCCUGCCAGCCUGGAGCCAGGCUAAGAGGAAGAGAAAGGAGGAAAUGCCUGCAGAAACAUCCUAUGGAAAGAACACUUUGGGUUCAGAAAAAAGAAAAGCCUGUGUCUCACUUGCGGCCCCACCCUUCGCUAGGUACAGCCAGUUCUGCUCCGAGGCUUGUCUUGAAAACCCAAAUUUGUUCUAGUGUGAUUGACGUGUUAGUGGAUAAUUUGAGUGUGAUGUGAAUUUGGUUUUUACCUAUAUGUGAUUUUGUCCUCAGGAAAUGCUAGGCCGUUGCAGAAAACUACAUCCUGCUUGGUCAAGCCCUGCAGGACACACACACACAAGCAUGUGCACACACACGUGGCCCUCCAAUGCCACCUCAGCUGUGGGUUAGGAGCCACACCUAUCCGCACCUGGUGUUACAACCGUCUGCUCCAUUUCGGGUAACCUCCCUUCCUCCACCACACAAUCACUUAGAAACUGUAACUCUUCUUGGGCCCAGGUGCACAGGGGAAUUCAGAUCUUUCCCAAGGAGCACCACUUCCCCCACGUUGUCCACCUCGUCCACCUCACAGAACAGCCGGGUGGCUUAGAG